GAUGAACGCUGGCGGCGUGCCUAACACAUGCAAGUCGAACGAGAUGCGUAUUGGAAAGCUUCGGCCGGAAGAUGCGUUAUCUAGUGGCGGACGGGUGAGUAACACGUGGGUAACCUGCCUUAUGGAGGGGGAUAACAGAGAGAAAUCACUGCUAAUACCGCAUAAGCACACAUUGCCGCAUGGCAGAGUGUGAAAAGAUUUAUCGCCAUAAGAUGGACCCGCGUCUGAUUAGCCAGUUGGCAGGGUAAAAGCCUACCAAAGCAACGAUCAGUAGCCCAUCUGAGAGGAUGACCGGCCACAUUGGGACUGAGACACGGCCCAAACUCCUACGGGAGGCAGCAGUGGGGAAUAUUGCACAAUGGGGGAAACCCUGAUGCAGCGACGCCGCGUGAGUGAAGAAGUAUUUCGGUAUGUAAAGCUCUAUCAGCAGGGAAGAUAAUGACAGUACCUGACUAAGAAGCCCCGGCUAACUACGUG
rnacentral:rRNA from 1 species